GACGAACCGUGCAAACGUUGUUCGGAAUCACUGGGCUUAAAGGGCGCGUAGGCGGGCCAGCCAGUCUGUGGUGAAAGCCUCCAGCUUAACUGGAGAAGUGCCGUGGAUACUGCUGGCCUCGAGGAGGGUAGGGGCAUCUGGAACGGUCGGUGGAGCGGUGAAAUGCGUAGAUAUCGGGAGGAACACCAGUGGCGAAGGCGGAGACCUGGGCCGAUACUGACGCUGAGAUGCGAAAGCGUGGGGAGCAAACAGG
rnacentral:rRNA from 1 species